CUGAGGGGGGCACAGCGAGGAAGGUGCCAACCCAGGGAUGUCUAUGACUCUUUUAAGGUAGCCAAAUGCCUCGUCAUCUAAUUAGUGACGCGCAUGAAUG
rnacentral:ncRNA from 1 species